CAGCCGCCGCGGGAAUACGUAGGGUGCAAGCGUUGUCCGGAAUUAUUGGGCGUAAAGAGCUCGUAGGCGGUUUGUCGCGUCUGCUGUGAAAACGCGAGGCUCAACCUCGCGCCUGCAGUGGGUACGGGCAGACUAGAGUGUGGUAGGGGAGAUUGGAAUUCCUGGUGUAGCGGUGGAAUGCGCAGAUAUCAGGAGGAACACCGAUGGCGAAGGCAGAUCUCUGGGCCAUUACUGACGCUGAGGAGCGAAAGCGUGGGGAGCGAACAGGAUUAGAUACCCGAGUAGUCCCUGUCUCUUAUAC
rnacentral:rRNA from 1 species